rnacentral:rRNA from 1 species
GACGAACGCUGGCGGCGUGCCUAAUACAUGCAAGUAGGACGCAGGUGCGAACGGGUGAGUAACGCGUAGGUAACUACCUAUUAGAGGGGGAUAACUACUGGAAACGAUAGCUAAUACCGCAUACUAUUAGAUGGACCUGCGUUGUAUUAGCUAGUAUGUAGGGGAAUGGCCUACCUAGGCAACGAUACAUAGCCGACCUGGGGAGGUGGACGGGCAACAUGGGACUGGGACAAGGGCCAGGACCCUGCGGGAGGCAGGCGGAGGGGAUCUUUGGAAAAGGGGGGAACGCUGACCGGGGAAAGGCGCGGGGGGGAAGAAAGGUUUCGGAUCGGAAAGCUCUGUUGGUAAGGGAGCGGUACUUAACCAGAAAGGGACGGCUAACUACGUGCCAGCAGCCGCGGUAAUAC